GGGAGCUUCGCAUGCGCGGAGCGAGGCCCGAUGUCGUCGGAGGAGAACAAGUGCGUGGAGCAGCCGCAGCCACCACCCCCCGAGGAGCCUGGAGCCCCGGCCCCGAGCCCCCCAGCCGCAGACAAAAGACCUCGGGGCCGGCCUCGCAAGGCGCUUCCCCUUUCCAGAGAGCCAGAAAGAAACUAUUUGGAGUUUUCCUGGUCUUACUGGAUGUCACUCUCGUCCUUGCCGACCUAAUUUUCACUGACAGCAAACUUUAUAUUCCUUCGGAGUAUCGUUCUAUUUCUCUAGCUAUUGCCUUAUUUUUUCUCAUGGAUGUUCUUCUUCGAGUAUUUGUAGA
rnacentral:lncRNA from 1 species